UGCCCACGCACACCUGAUGUCAUCGUUAAAGAGGCCAAAGAGUGCGUGGGAAAGAAACAGCAGUACUCUGUGACCACCUCUAACUGUGAGCACUUUGCCACAGAGCUACGAUACGGCAAGCCUGAGUCAAGGCAGGUCAGAGAUACAACUUCUAAAGUACUUAGAUCUGUUGGAACUGGUGGAGCUAUUGGAGCUAUUGGAGCACUUGGAGGUCUUGGAGUUGUUGGAGCUAUUGGAACUGUUGCAACUGCUGGUACUCUUGGAGUUGCAGCAUCAGCGGGUGUGGUUGUUGCAUCUGUUGUUUAUGCCCUUUUCAGUGUGGCUAGAAGCAACAGAUAGGUUGAUUGAGAAAAGGUAUAUAUGAAUGCAAGUAUUUCAUAUAAUUUUAAUUGCAAAAACACCAAGAUAUAUUAUCCAAAGUAAAAUGAUCAAAUUAAAAAUGUUGUGUUUUUAUUUCAAGUUGUAUUGUUUACUAUCAAUAUUAUUUUGUUGAGCAAACAAGUUGAAGUCACAUUUGUAUUUGUAUUGUGUUUCUUUGAUUAUUAAAUCUUGGUUAUUCUG